rnacentral:rRNA from 1 species
UACAGAGGUCUCAAGCGUUGUUCGGAUUCAUUGGGCGUAAAGGGCGCGUAGGCUGCGGGGCAAGUCGGGUGUGAAAUCUCAGAGCUCAACUCUGAAACUGCACUCGAUACUGCUUUGCUUGAGGACUGGAGAGGAGAUUGGAAUUCACGGUGUAGCAGUGAAAUGCGUAGAUAUCGUGAGGAAGACCAGUGGCGAAGGCGGGUCGUCGUGGACAGUUCCUGACGCUGAGGCGCGGAAGGCCAGGGGAGCAAAACGGG